UUGAAGUUCAGGUAACACUGAAUGGAGGACCGAACCGACUUACGUUGAAAAGUGAGCGGAUGAACUGAGGGUAGCGGAGAAAUUCCAAUCGAACCUGGAGAUAGCUGGUUCUCUCCGAAAUAGCUUUAGGGCUAGCCUCAAGUGAUGAUUAUUGGAGGUAGAGCACUGUUUGGACGAGGGGCCCCUCUCGGGUUACCGAAUUCAGACAAACUCCGAAUGCCAAUUAAUUUAACUUGGGAGUCAGAACAUGGGUGAUAAGGUCCGUGUUCGAAAGGGAAACAGCCCAGACCACCAGCUAAGGUCCCAAAAUAUAUGUUAAGUGGAAAAGGAUGUGGCGUUGCCCAGACAACUAGGAUGUUGGCUUAGAAGCAGCCAUCAUUUAAAGAGUGCGUAAUAGCUCACUAGUCGAGUGACACUGCGCCGAAAAUGUACCGGGGCUAAACAUAUUACCGAAGCUGUGGAUUGUCCUUUGGACAAUGGUAGGAGAGCGUUCUAAGGGCGUUGAAGCAUGAUCGUAAGGACAUGUGGAGCGCUUAGAAGUGAGAAUGCCGGUGUGAGUAGCGAAAGACGGGUGAGAAUCCCGUCCACCGAUUGACUAAGGUUUCCAGAGGAAGGCUCGUCCGCUCUGGGUUAGUCGGGUCCUAAGCUGAGGCCGACAGGCGUAGGCGAUGGAUAACAGGUUGAUAUUCCUGUACCACCUAUAAUCGUUUUAAUCGAUGGGGGGACGCAGUAGGAUAGGCGAAGCGUGCGAUUGGAUUGCACGUCUAAGCAGUAAGGCUGAGUAUUAGGCAAAUCCGGUACUCGUUAAGGCUGAGCUGUGAUGGGGAGAAGACAUUGUGUCUUCGAGUCGUUGAUUUCACACUGCCGAGAAAAGCCUCUAGAUAGAAAAUAGGUGCCCGUACCGCAAACCGACACAGGUAGUCAAGAUGAGAAUUCUAAGGUGAGCGAGCGAACUCUCGUUAAGGAACUCGGCAAAAUGACCCCGUAACUUCGGGAGAAGGGGUGCUCUUUAGGGUUAACGCCCAGAAGAGCCGCAGUGAAUAGGCCCAAGCGACUGUUUAUCAAAAACACAGGUCUCUGCUAAACCGUAAGGUGAUGUAUAGGGGCUGACGCCUGCCCGGUGCUGGAAGGUUAAGAGGAGUGGUUAGCUUCUGCGAAGCUACGAAUCGAAGCCCCAGUAAACGGCGGCCGUAACUAUAACGGUCCUAAGGUAGCGAAAUUCCUUGUCGGGUAAGUUCCGACCCGCACGAAAGGCGUAACGAUUUGGGCACUGUCUCAACGAGAGACUCGGUGAAAUCAUAGUACCUGUGAAGAUGCAGGUUACCCGCGACAGGACGGAAAGACCCCGUGGAGCUUUACUGUAGCCUGAUAUUGAAAUUCGGCACAGCUUGUACAGGAUAGGUAGGAGCCUUUGAAACGUGAGCGCUAGCUUACGUGGAGGCGCUGGUGGGAUACUACCCUAGCUGUGUUGGCUUUCUAACCCGCACCACUUAUCGUGGUGGGAGACAGUGUCAGGCGGGCAGUUUGACUGGGGCGGUCGCCUCCUAAAAGGUAACGGAGGCGCUCAAAGGUUCCCUCAGAAUGGUUGGAAAUCAUUCAUAGAGUGUAAAGGCAUAAGGGAGCUUGACUGCGAGACCUACAAGUCGAGCAGGGUCGAAAGACGGACUUAGUGAUCCGGUGGUUCCGCAUGGAAGGGCCAUCGCUCAACGGAUAAAAGCUACCCCGGGGAUAACAGGCUUAUCUCCCCCAAGAGUUCACAUCGACGGGGAGGUUUGGCACCUCGAUGUCGGCUCAUCGCAUCCUGGGGCUGUAGUCGGUCCCAAGGGUUGGGCUGUUCGCCCAUUAAAGCGGUACGCGAGCUGGGUUCAGAACGUCGUGAGACAGUUCGGUCCCUAUCCGUCGUGGGCGUAGGAAAUUUGAGAGGAGCUGUCCUUAGUACGAGAGGACCGGGAUGGACAUACCUCUGGUGUACCAGUUGUCGUGCCAACGGCAUAGCUGGGUAGCUAUGUGUGGACGGGAUAAGUGCUGAAAGCAUCUAAGCAUGAAGCCCCCCUCAAGAUGAGAUUUCCCAACUUCGGUUAUAAGAUCCCUCAAAGAUGAUGAGGUUAAUAGGUUCGAGGUGGAAGCAUGGUGACAUGUGGAGCUGACGAAUACUAAUCGAUCGAAGACUUAAUCAA
rnacentral:rRNA from 1 species